rnacentral:rRNA from 1 species
CGCUGGCGGCGUGCCUAAUACAUGCAAGUCGAACGCACUCUCGUUUAGAUUGAAGGAGCUUGCUCCUGAUUGAUAACAUUUGAGUGAGUGGCGGACGGGUGAGUAACACGUGGGUAACCUGCCCUAAAGUGGGGGAUAACAUUUGGAAACAGAUGCUAAUACCGCAUAAAACCUAACACCGCAUGGUGUAGGGUUGAAAGAUGGUUUCGGCUAUCACUUUAGGAUGGACCCGCGGUGCAUUAGUUAGUUGGUGAGGUAAAGGCUCACCAAGACCGUGAUGCAUAGCCGACCUGAGAGGGUAAUCGGCCACACUGGGACUGAGACACGGCCCAGACUCCUACGGGAGGCAGCAGUAGGGAAUCUUCCACAAUGGACGAAAGUCUGAUGGAGCAACGCCGCGUGAGUGAAGAAGGUUUUCGGAUCGUAAACUCUGUUGUUGGAGAAGAAUGUAUCUGAUAGUAACUGAUCAGGUAGUGACGGUAUCCAACCAGAAAGCCACGGCUAACUACGUG